UGGAGGUAGUGACAAUAAAUCACAAUGCGGGACUUGUAGUCUUGCAAUUGGAUUGAGAACAACGUACAACUCUUAUCGAUAAGCCAUUGGAGGGCAAGUCUGGUGCCAGCAGCCGCGGUAAUUCCAGCUCCAAUAGCGUAUAUUAACGUUGUUGCAGUUAAAAAGCUCGUAGUUGAAGUGAGGGAGUGUGUGUUGUGAUCGAAUCGAUCGAGAGCAGUACAACCUCCCCCUUCCAAUGGGUGUAUUGGGGUAUUCAUUUACUUCAUUACUCCUUUGGUCGUUUACUGUGAGAAAAUUAGAGUGUUCAAAGCGGGCGUUUGUUUGAAUAGAUUAGCAUGGAAUAAUGAUUGAAGGCUUUCGUGUUCGAUUUGAUUGGUUUGUUCAUGGAAGCAAGGUUAAAAGGAACAGUUGGGGGUAUUCAUAUUCACUAGUUAGAGGUGAAAUUCUCGGAUUUAUGGAAGAUGAACAAGUG
rnacentral:rRNA from 1 species